ACGGGAGGCAGCAGUGGGGGAUAUUGCACAAUGGGGGAAACCCUGAUGCAGCGACGCCGCGUGAGUGAUGAAGUAUUUCGGUAUGUAAAGCUCUAUCAGCAGGAAAGAUAAUGACGGUAUCUGACUAAGAAGCACCGGCUAAAUACGUGCCAGCAGCCGCGGUAAUACGUAUGGUGCAAGCGUUAUCCGGAUUUACUGGGUGUAAAGGGAGCGUAGACGGCAUGGCAAGUCUGAUGUGAAAGCCCGGGGCUCAACCCCGGGACUGCAUUGGAAACUGUCAAGCUAGAGUGCAGGAGAGGUAAGUGGAAUUCCUAGUGUAGCGGUGAAAUGCGUAGAUAUUAGGAGGAACACCAGUGGCGAAGGCGGCUUGCUGGACUGUAACUGACGUUGAGGCUCGAAAGCGUGGGGAGCAAACAGGAUUAGAUACCCUGGUA
rnacentral:rRNA from 1 species